CCCACACCCCAUGGUGGCUGAUGCCCUGGGAGGCCAUCCAGGGCAACUCCAGCCUCCACAGUGAGACCAAGCCUCCCUUUUCAGAGAGAUGUAUAUUCAGUCCGUCCCAUCUCUCAGAGCACCAUGGCAGAUGACAUCCAAGGCCUUACAGAAUUCUCGAUCUGGAGACAUGGGAGCCCAUCCCCCUGGGCCUUGGACCAAGGGCCCUACUUUAUGGCAAGGAAAGAGCACCGUGGGUGUGCAAGCACGGUAGCCACUGGUCUGACCCUGGAGCGAUGGGCCUGACGGAACGCUGGGGCAGCCAGCUCGUGCGACACCCUGUGUCCAGAACCCACAGCUAAUCAAUGGUGCUGUGACCCCAAAAACUAGGACACACGGUCCAGGAACAAGCUGUGGAAAUAGGAUUGUGCCUGCCUCCAUCACUCCAGUACCUCACUUGUAGAUUUGUACUUCUCCUCCCUGCAGCCUGAGAUUUUGUCAGAGAAGAGGCCCAGUGGCGGUGAAUAAACAGCCCCUGCAGGGUCUGGCCAGACAACUGCAGGCCAACAGUGCCUCACCCUGAGUGGCAUCUCUCUUCCUGCCCUGGGAGUUCACUGAUGCCCCAUAUGGGAUGUCCCUCUCCCCAUCAGGAACCCGCUCAGAGAUCAGCUGUAACACCAUUCAGGCCAACCCUUGAUCCAAGGGAGACGGAGCUAUGGGGUGCCUCCCCCUUCCCCCUUGCUUCCCCCAGGCAGAUGGUCCCAAGAUGCAUUUCAUAAGGAAUCUCGGACAGCCCUGGGGGCCUGGGCACCCAGGUUGCCUUAAUGGUGAACUCAGGAAUGCACAUUUGUAUUGGUUCUUUUUCCUCUCCUGUUUCCCUCUCCCCUCUCCCCAUCCCUCACUCUUGCCCCUGCAACUGUACUCCCAAACAAACUACGUGUACCUCAGCCUUUAUUUUAGCCUGCUUUCAGGGAGCCCAGACCAAACAGGUGUUAUGGGCAGAAUUAUGUCCCUAACCCCUCCCCGUGGAAUUAGUAGGUUGAAGUCCUAACCCCCAGUACCUUAGAUGUGACUAUAUUUGGACACAGGGUCUUUAAAGAGGUAAUUAAGUUAAAAUGAGGUCAUCAGGAUGGGCCCUAAUCCAAUAUGACUGGUGUCCUUCUCAGAAGAGGAGAUUGGGACACAGACACGCACAGAGGAAGGAUCACAUGAAGACACAGCAAGAAGAUGGCGGUCUACAAGCCAAGGAGGGAGAAGAAACCAACUCUGCCUAUACCUUGGUCAUGGGUUUCCAGCCUCCAGGAUGGAAGAAAAUAAAUUUCUGUUGUUUAAGCCA